rnacentral:rRNA from 1 species
AAUACAAGCCGGCCGGUUUGCUGUUGCAGCUUGUUCGAAAGAGCGGUUG